rnacentral:lncRNA from 1 species
UUCCAGCCAAUACACAGAGUGGGGCAACUCUCAGAAAACCAUUGAGAAGAGAGUCAGAGUGCUGAAGUACCGUGUCUGGAAUCCUGUCUUCCCAACUCCGUGUUUCCUGAUCUAUCAGGAUAUGAGAAGAUGACAGUCUGCAACCCAGAAGAGAACCCUCACAGAACCUGACCAUGCCGGCACCCUGAUCUCAGGUUUCCAGCCUCCAGAACUGUGAGAACUGGCUUCCAUGUGUAAAGUGCUCUAUGGAGAGGCCUGUGUGGCAAGGAACUGGGAGUAGCCUCCAGAUGACAGCCAGUAAGGAACUGAGACCCUCAGUCCACCAACCCAUGAGGAACCCAUGCAAUGACCACAUGAGUCAAACUUUGAGAUGACUGCAGACCGAGCCAGCCCCUUGAUAAGAGCUUUGUGAGAGGAUCAGAGCCAAAG